GAAAUUAUGACAUAAUCGGGGCCUGGAGCUAAUCCAGAGUUGCUUGCCAUGAGCUCUGUUCCCAUUCCCUGGAGUAAGGUUAGGCCUUGGGUGGCCCACCCAUGCUGCCAAAUAUGCAGGGCGGCAGCAACCCUCAUGGGCCCUUAAAGAUCAUAUGGGGCACGGCUGGAUUCUGCAGCCCUCUUGUAUAUCACAUGGGAACACUGCGGGGUGUGAGUGAUGGAACUGGGUCACACUGUGGCAACCCAGCACAGUCCAGAUUCAGAGCCAGGUUUGCAGUUCUCAGAGGCUGGGAAAGCAGGCCUCCAUCAAGCUAAACAGAGAUCUUUCCCAUUUUUUUUAAUAAAAGUUACUUCUUUUGCAAAUUUGUCCUCCUCACCUUAUGUAGGAAGAUGCUAUAGGAGUCUUUUAUUGUAAUAAGGUAGUCAAAGGCACAAGAAGUCGAACUGUGUAAAAAGAGUUUCGAAAAGUACAGGGAAGAGUGAAAUCAUGUGAUUCUCCACCAUUCCUCUAGACUCUGGAGUAGACGCGAUGCUACCUUGUGCCCUCUUUAGAGCUAAGGGCCCCUCCCCGGUAGAAUGUCAAAGGCAAGACCUUUGGAGCUGCGCCUCUAUGAGAGUCUAUUGUCCCAGUCCAUGGGCCUCGGACGCUUCUCCCCACCUCCCAUUUUCAAAGCCGCCCGGUAGGCGCCCGGUGUACGCGGUGCACCGGGAGUCUGCGCCUGUCACGCCGGCUCGGUCCCUGCCACAUGGUUCUCAAUUCGGCCCUCUGUCCAGUCCUGUCCUCAGGUUUCCUGGAUACUUAGUUCGUAAGGACAGUCGAGGUAUCUAUGAAUUUUCGCCUGUAUGCUCCGCUCACAUGGCGGACACGAACCGAUCCACUGCGCCUGGAUAGGCAGCCGCGUGGCGAGCGUGGUAGGCGCCUCCACCGCCCGCUCCAAGCUGCCCACCAGGAUUGUAGCAGGGCCCCAGCGCUCCGAACUGGCCCGGCGAUGUGCGCCCAUAGAAGUCCACCGCAGUCUCGACGCCGCCGCUGCUGCCACCCGCGGGGGGCGAAGCGGGCCCGGCCAACCGGCCAGUCGCUGCGAAGAGGGCCCCGCUGGCCCCUUGCGAGUACGUGCCGUCGGGGCCGGCAUAGGCGGCCGCAUAGGCGGAAGUGUUGGCGGGUCGGGCACCGGCGCAGCCGGCUGGCUGGUAAGCGGUGCUAGCGGCAGAGCCGCCGGCCGAGGCAAAGGAGCAGGAACCGGCGGGCCCAGAUGGCGCGGGGCCCAGUUCUGGGCUGAGCGGCCGCUCAGGCACCAGGCCGAAGACGCGGCACGGGCCUGGCGAAGCAGCCGGGUAGUAGACCGGGGGCGGCGCGGCGAGCGACGGUGCGGCAUAGCCUGCAUAGACCGCGCCAGGGUAAGGAGGGCGCGCAGCGGGCACCCCACCCGGGAAGAUGGCGGCGGCGGCGGCGGCCGCAGCGGCGGCGGCGGCGGCGGCCGCGUCCUGCAUGUAAGCCGGAGAGCUGAGAGGGUCCUCGCAGCUGGCACCGGGAGCUUCCCUGGCAAGGGCUCGCAGGAGGCUUGGCGCCCGCGGUUUCCGGACUGGCGGUCUGUGAACAGAGGCUUAAGUGUCCCGCCCACCGACGGCUCUGCUCGUGUUCUGGACCUCGAAGCCAGGCGCCGGCAGCGACGCUGGUACUGGAACUAG
rnacentral:lncRNA from 1 species